UACGUAGGGCGCAAGCGUUGUCCGGAUUCACUGGGUGUAAAGGGUGCGCAGGCGGGCAGGUAAGUUAGAGGUGAAAUCUCACGGCUCAACCGUGAAACUGCCUUUGAUACUGCUUUUCUUGAGUUAGGGAGAGGUUGAUGGAAUUCCAGGUGUAGCGGUGAAAUGCGUAGAUAUCUGGAGGAAUACCGGUGGCGAAGGCGGCAUCCUGGACCGACAUUGACGCUGAUGAGCGAAAGCCAGGGGAGCAAACGGG
rnacentral:rRNA from 1 species